UUUUUUUGUGGCUGAAUAAUAUUCUAAUACAUAUAUAUGUAUAUAUAUAUACAUAUAUAUACAUAUAUAUAUGAUUUUUACCAAACAUCUUUAUCAGUUUGCCAAUUGACAGACUCCUGGGCUGCUUCCAAAUUUAGCUAUUGGAAAUAAUGCUACAAUAACAUAGGGGUACAUACAUCUUUUUGAAUUAGUGUUUUCUUAGUCUUUUGGAGAAUAUCUAGCUGCAAUGGCUGGAUCAUAUGGUAAUUCUAUUGUUAAUUUUUUUGAGGAACUUCCAUAGUGUUUUCCACAGUGGCUACACCAGUUUGCUUUCCCAUCAGCAGGGCAAGAGGGUUUCCCCUUUCUCCAACCCUUACCAACACUAGUUUCUUGUAUUUUGGAUUUUAGUCAUUCUGAUUGGCAUCAGGAAAUAUCUCAUUGUAGUUUUGAUUUGCAUUUUCUGGAUGAUGAAUGAUGUUGGGCAUCCUUUUCUGUGUCUGUUGGCCGUCUGUAAGUCUUCCGUAGAGAAAUGUUUGUUUGUGUCUUUCCCCAUUUUUAUUUUUUUUUAAUUUUAUUUAUUUAUUCAUGAGAGACAUAGAGAGAGAAGCAGAGACACGGGUAGAGGGAGAAGCAGGCUCCAUGCAGGGAUCCCGAUGUGGGACUUGAUCCCCAGAUCUGGGAUCACACCCUGGGCCAAAGGCAGAUGCUCAACAGCUGAGCCACACAGGCAUCCCACUUUUUAAUUGGAUUGUUUGUGGGUUUUUUGGUGUUGAGGUGUAUAAGUUUGGAAAGCAACUCUUUAUCAGGUAUGUGCUUUGCAAAUAUCUUCUCCCAUUUCAUAGGUUGUCUUUUAGUUUUGUAGGUUGUUUCCUUUGCUGUGCAUAGCUUUUUAUUUUGAUGUAGUCCCAGUAGUUUAUUUUUGCUUUUGUUUCCCUUACCUCAGGAGACAUAUCUAGAAAACUGCUGCCAUGGCCCAUGUCAGGGAAAUUACUGUGUAUGCUCCCUACUAGGAUUUUUAUGGUUCCAAGUCUCACAUUUAGUUCUUUAUUACAUUUUGAUUUUAUUUUUGUGAAUGGCGUAAGAAAGUGGUCCAGUUCCAUUCUUUUGCACGUAGCUGUCCAGUUUUUCCAACACCAUUUGUUGAAGAGACCUUUUCCUAUUGCAUAUUCUUACCUCCUUUGUCGUAGAUUAAUUGACCAUAUAGUCAUGGGUUUAUUUCUGAGAUCUCUAUUCUGUUCCAUUGAUCUAUCCAUCUAUUUUUGUGCAAGUACCAUACUGUUUCGAUUACUACAGCUUUGUAGUGUAUCUUGAUAAAUGGGAUGGCGAUGCAUCCCAUUUUGC
rnacentral:lncRNA from 1 species